UACGGAGGGGGCUAGCGUUGCUCGGAAUUACUGGGCGUAAAGCGCACGUAGGCGGCUUUGCAAGUUAGAGGUGAAAGCCCGGGGCUCAACCCCGGAAUUGCCUUUAAAACUGCAUCGCUAGAAUUGUGGAGAGGUAAGUGGAAUUCCGAGUGUAGAGGUGAAAUUCGUAGAUAUUCGGAAGAACACCAGUGGCGAAGGCGACUUACUGGACACAUAUUGACGCUGAGGUGCGAAAGCGUGGGGAGCAAACAGG
rnacentral:rRNA from 1 species